AACGAACGCUGGCGGCAGGCCUAACACAUGCAAGUCGAACGUGAACAGGGGCAACCCUUAGUAAAGUGGCGCACGGGUGAGUAAUGCAUAGAUGAUCUGCCUCAAAGCUAGGAAUAACCUGCCGAAAGGCGGGCUAAUACCUAAUAGUUCGGUUUACCGGGAAAGGUAGCUCGUAAGAGCUGUCACUUUGAGAUGAGUUUAUGUCCCAUUAGCUUGUUGGUGGGGUAAUGGCCUACCAAGGCGAGGAUGGGUAGCUGGUCUGAGAGGAUGAUCAGCCACACUGGAACUGAAACACGGUCCAGACUCCUACGGGAGGCAGCAGUGGGGAAUUUUGCGCAAUGGGCGAACGCCUGACGCAGCAACGCCGCGUGAGUGAAGAAGGCCUUCGGGUCGUAAAGCUCUGUCAUGUGGGACGAAGUUCCUCUUGGUGAAUAGCCUUGAGGGUUGACGGUACCACAGAAGGAAGCACCGGCUAACUCCGUGCCAGCCGCCGCAGUAA
rnacentral:rRNA from 1 species